AUAUGGGAGCAUGUUCAAGUAAUAUAAAUGUCACGUCUCUAUGAAAUUACUAUUAAUAUUGUGUACUUUGAUGCUGCAAAAGUUUGACGUUGAUACUUGUCAUAGAAAAUACAUCAUGCAAAAAAAGUGAAAGAAUUGGCGAGAUCAUCGAUGUAAUUUGUUUAAAGCAAUCAAUAACAAAGGAAAAACAAUUAGCUCCUGCUCUCCUCAAGCCCGAUAAUGUUGAAUCAAUGGAAGAAUGGCAAGCAUUUGUCAAAUAACGCAAUUCUCAACCAUAUAAGGUAAGCUUUCAUUGCUUUUGUAUAUUGAUUGUGCUUUGCAACAUACAGCUUAUUGCAUCUGUGAUAUAUUCACCACAACAUUUGUGCCCAUUAUAAUGUGCAUAAAUGAUUGUGUAGGAAAAGAAUGAAAGAUUCAAAAAUAUGAGAGCAAGUCAAACCAUGAUGCAUACAACAAGUAGAAAGGUUUUUGCUCGCUUAGAAGUUGAAAUGGUAAAAAAUUGUUAAAUUAAAGUUAAAUUUGUUUGAAAAAUUAUAAAUGUUAUACAAACUACCACACAUGAAAUGUGUAAAAUGCAGCGUGCUAAAAGUGAAGAUCCUGAUUCGAUAACGAGAGAUGAUGUUUAUAUUCGAGGACAUACACAAAAAAAUGGUGAACCUAUUAAUGAAUCGGUUGGGAAAACAUUGGUAACAAUAUUGCUUUUAGUAAUUUUGUAUCAUUCAAAGCUUAUAUUAGCUAAUUUUAGCUCAUUAAUGUAUUUCCUCAUAUCAGAAUAAAAUAAAAGCAUAUUCAGAGACAAUUUCUCUCCAAGCAAACACUCACUUGAAGGUGAUGGUGUUGCAAAAGUACUUGGUCCAGAACGUCCAGGACGAGUAAGAGGUCUUGGUUUCGAUGCGACUCCUUCAAAGUUGAAUGCUUUGGUGCACAAUCAUAACUUGCAAACUCAAGUUCAAAAGUUGAGGGAUGAAAUUAAAGAAUUAAAAGCUCUAUUUCAAGUGAAGAGUAAAAGUGCUGAAUAAGAAGAUAAUGUAAGUGGAAAUCUAGAAUCAAUAAAUGUUAUUUUAAAUUAUAUAUACUUUCUAUAUUCAAAAUAAUAAAUUGUACAAUUGAAUAUUAAUUUUACAGUCUAGAGAUAGAAGCUUGAAUGGUUUAGAUAACCUUCAAAAUAAGAAGUGCAAAUUGUUAUCUUGGUUUGGGAAAGUUGAUAUUGUUGCAAAAGGUGAAAUCGCAUCAACAAAUCCAAAUGAUCUAGUGCAUCAUGUACCCCUUGGUAAUGAACGUUGGAGAGUUUGGAUUAAUGAAGUGAUCGAUAAUGUCAUCUUAUAUCGUCCCACGCGUGAGCUUUUUCUUCUUGAAGAGCAUUAGGAAGUACAAUUACAUGACCAAGUAGGUAUAUCGAAGUGGAUUCGCUAUAAUCACAACGAAGGUAUGCUUAACUUCCUUUCUAUUUUAAUCUCAUUUACCUUUAUGUUCGGUCUCAAUUGAAGAUAGGGUUGUUUAAUAUAUUUCUUGAUACACUUUUGAUUUGGAUGCUUAUUAAUUAUAUCCUUAUUAUUUCUGUGGUGUGUAGGGGAUAUCCAUAUUUUGUGGGGUAGCUAAAUUGUCGGUCAAAGAAGUGAACUUUGAUAUGUUUAAUAAUUUUUUGUUAUAUGACAGAACCUCAAUAUCCACGGGCUUAUUAGUUGAAUGGCAAUUGGCACAUACAAUAGUAGUCAAAAAAUUUUGAGAAUUGUUUAGAUGAAUUUUACAUUGGCAUAUUAAAUUGAACCGUACUCAAUAUUUCUUUUUAUCGAAACAAUCGAAAACUUGAUUAUAUAUGGAG
rnacentral:lncRNA from 1 species